UGCUUCAAUAUAAAUGCCGAUUGGCGCAAAAAGAACUUGCGUCUCUUACUAAUCGCAGUUAUCGCUCCAAAAGUAAUUUUUCCAAUAAGCUGUGAUGGCCAACGUUUGGAUGUUGGUAUUAUCACUGGAGCUGCUCUUUCUUAUUGUGCAAGCGGGAGAAGCAAAUUUGUUUUUGAAGGGUUGCUGCCCGUUAAAGGAGUUGACUUUUACGCCUAAAACAGAUUUCGCAUGCGAAAAUAUUCCGGGUGCAUUCACUAAAGACGACGUAUGUGCUUACCAGCCGUGUGGAAAAAAGCGCUGUUGCGGCACCGGCUGGUGCAAUAUGCUCUGCUGCAACUGCCGAGGGGGAUGCGAGGAUCAAUCUAAUAUUAACUAUUUUUUGCGUCACUUCCAAAAGUGUUGCAUAAGAGAUGUGAUUUCAGUUCGGAAUAUAAGCCCAUAAAAAGAUCAGACGACCCAAAUAGAGCUGGCAAUAUUAAAACUCACAUAGAUAUUAUUUGAUCAGAGGCAAAUCUUGAACACAAAAAUAAAGUGUGAGAUAUUUGUUCCAAG